GACGAACCGAGCGAACGUUAUUCGGAAUCACUGGGCUUAAAGGGCGCGUAGGCGGGCGAUCAAGUCAGGGGUGAAAGCCUCCAGCUCAACUGGAGAAGUGCCUCUGAUACUGGUCAUCUCGAGGGAGGUAGGGGCGUGCGGAACUUCCGGUGGAGCGGUGAAAUGCGUAGAUAUCGGAAGGAACACCGGUGGCGAAGGCGGGUCUCUGGGCAACAACUGACGCUGAGGAGCGAAAGCGUGGGGAGCGAACAGG
rnacentral:rRNA from 1 species